rnacentral:lncRNA from 1 species
AGGGCCUCUGAGAGUCUCCCUGUUGUCUGGAAGGCUCCUUGGGGGCAGGGAUACUCCUGGGUGGCAUGGAGUAGGUGUAAUGGGCGUCUCAGGUCAGGGCUGAUCCCUACCCCCACAACCAUGCUGUCAGCUUCGGCAUCCGCCUGCUGCCCCAGGCCUCUGAGGACAAGUUCGACUGUUACAAGUGUCACUGGCGAGAAGGCAGCAUGUGUGGCUACGGCAUCUGUGAGUACAGCACCGACGAGGUGUACAAGGGCUACUUCCAGGAGGGCCUGCGGCACGGAUUUGGGGUCCUUGAGAGUGGUCCGCAGGCCCCCCAGCCCUUCAGGUACACAGGCCACUGGGAGAGGGGCCAGAGGAGCGGCUAUGGCAUUGAGGAGGAUGGUGACAGGUGAGCGCCCUGCAGCCACCACUCCCAGGACGGAGGGGUGGACAGGGCCCUCACAGACCAGAUUGUUGCAGGACACAGGCUCGUGUUUGUCCCCCACUGUGUCUCUCUUAAGCCCCUCACUUCCCCUCCAGUCCCUCGGUUGCUGCGGAGGCUCAGGCUGAGCGAAUCUUGGUCACGCUGACUGCAGGGUCGCCCCCGCCCCUCACCCCUCCUCAUGGUGUUGGAGAGGCAUUUCUGACCCCCUGCUCUGUCACGUCUAAAAACUGCAGCCCUUGCUGGCUCUCUGGGCUGUGUGAUAAAGCCCUGGAUCCUUGGCCUGGCAAUCACAGCCUCGCCUGCUUCUCUGACCUCACCCCAGCUGCGUCUCCUGGGCACCCCUCCAGCCUUUCUGGACCACUGAAGUCCCCACGUAUCCAUCACAUGCUCCUACCUCCAUGGCUUUGCACACACUCCUAUUCCCCCUGUCCUUCCUGCCACCUCCACGGAGAAGCCUCCCAGAUGCCCUUCCCAGGCUGCCUCCCUCCCUCCUCCAUUCUCUAUUCCUCUUGGGGGUCCUGACCUCUCUGGCACUGUGUCUGUUGAGUGGAUUCAGGUGAUGUCACUGCCCCUUAUCUGCACUCCCUGCCGCCCCGUGCCAGCAGAGUGCCCAGGAGGUACAUGGGAAUGAGUCUGAUCCAACUCUGGCCACAUUCCUCUCCCUCCAGAGGUGAGCGCUACAUUGGCAUGUGGCAGGCUGGUCAGCG